rnacentral:rRNA from 1 species
GACGAACGCUGGCGGCGUGCUUAACACAUGCAAGUCGAACGGAAAGGCCUGUCCUUCCUUGUGUUGGACGGGUACUCGAGUGGCGAACGGGUGAGUAACACGUGAGUGAUCUGCCCCCAACUUGGGUAUAAGCCUGGGAAACUGGGUCUAAUUCCCGAUAGGACUGCAGGGUGGUGCCUGUGGUGGAAAACGAUUUUCUAGUGGUUGGGGAUGAGCUCGCGGCCUAUCAGCUUGUUGGUGGGGUAAUGGCCUACCAAGGCGGCGACGGGUAGCCGGCCUGAGAGGGUGGACGGCCACAGUGGGACUGAGAUACGGCCCAGACUCCGACGGGAGGCAGCAGUGGGGAAUAUUGCAAAAUGGGCGGAAGCCUGAUGCAGCGACGCAGCGUGGGGGAUGACGGCCUUCGGGUGGUAAACUCCUUUCGACCGCGAGGAAGCCGCCUGGUUGGAAGGGUGGUGACGGUAGUGGUAGAAGAAGCACCGGCUAACUACGUG